rnacentral:rRNA from 1 species
GGCUCAGAAUCAACGCUGGCGGCGUGCCUCAGACAUGCAAGUCGAACGAUUAAAGCUCUCUUCGGAGAGUGCAUAGAGUGGCGCACGGGUGAGUAACACGUAAGUAAUCUACCCUCGAGUGGGGAAUAACGUCCGGAAACGGACGCUAAUACCGCAUAAUGCAGCGGCACCGCAAGGUGACAGUUGUUAAAGAUUUAUCGCUUGAGGAGGAGCUUGCGGCAGAUUAGCUAGUUGGUAAGGUAAUGGCUUACCAAGGCUACGAUCUGUAACCGGUCUAAGAGGACGGUCGGUCACACUGACACUGAAUAACGGGUCAGACUCCUACGGGAGGCAGCAGUCGGGAAUUUUGGGCAAUGGGCGAAAGCCUGACCCAGCAACGCCGCGUGAAGGAUGAAGUAUUUCGGUAUGUAAACUUCGAAAGAAUAGGAAGAAUAAAUGACGGUACUAUUUAUAAGGUCCGGCUAACUACGUGCCAGCAGCCGCGGUAAUACGUAGGGACCAAGCGUUGUUCGGAUUUACUGGGCGUAAAGGGCGCGUAGGCGGCGUGGUAAGUCACUUGUGAAAUCUCUGAGCUUAACUCAGAACGGCCAAGUGAUACUGCUGUGCUAGAGUGCGGAAGGGGCAAUCGGAAUUCUUGGUGUAGCGGUGAAAUGCGUAGAUAUCAAGAGGAACACCUGAGGUGAAGACGGGUUGCUGGGCCGACACUGACGCUGAUGCGCGAAAGCCAGGGGAGCAAACGGGAUUAGAUACCCCGGUAGUCCUGGCCCUAAACGAUGAAUACUUGGUGUCUGGAGUCUUUAAUGCUCCGGGUGCCGUCGCUAACGUUUUAAGUAUUCCGCCUGGGGAGUACGCUCGCAAGAGUAAAACUCAAAU